GGAAGUAAAAAAGUCGUAACAAGGUUUCCGUAGGUGAACCUGCGGA
rnacentral:rRNA from 1 species